UCUCCGCUCUCAGGCCCUCUGUGUCCUCGCGCUGCAGUGGUUCCUGACCCUUUCCAAAUCAGCACACUUGUCAAGUCACAUUAGCCUGCUUGCUAACUGCGAGGCGGUGACAUUCAUCUCUUUGAUGCUCUCAAGCCGGUCUGAGGUCUCCUUCUCCCAGGGAUGCGGCCUGCUCUGCUGCGCAAGUCGCUUCCCGCGAGGCGAUCAUCAAGAAGGAGCAGUCGUAGCUCUAAGGGUUCACGAAUUGAAGCAAAAGGCCCAGUGCCAAAGAGAGAAACGCAGAGCCAGAAGUGCAGGGUCAUAGUGUGUGGCUGCGGAGCCCAGCACCUGGCUGCAGCAUUCCACCCUAAGGGAUGUGAGGUGCGCAACCUCACUCUCAGGAAACCCGUCACGGAAAGCACAUAGCGCCCUGUCUCCGUCAUUAGUUUGCAAGUAUAAAAUCAGAAACUCAGAACGUUCCUGGUCCCACUUGUUCCUUUUUAACUGACGACCAUUUCAUCUCCACUUGAGCACUCUGUGGACCAAGAGCUCACCGUUCACUCGUGGCUGUACGUCCUGGGGUAUUUAUGCAAUACCAGUAGCUCUUCUUACUCAGAUACAUGGUACUGUCUACGUACAAUUGUGACUAGAGUAUUUGCUCUGUGUUUAGUUUUUAUAUCAUUUGGUCCUUAUAAUCAUCCAAUAAAGAAUGUCCUGUUGUUAUCCCCACCUUCCAGAAGAGGGACUUGGACUUAAUGGAGAACUAAAGUCUUGGCAGCGUUUGACUGAAGGAGCAGCAUGUUUAAGUAACCAUCCCUCCCAGAGUCACAUUUUCCUCCUAUCACAGUGGUAACCUCCAGACCAUAAUAUUCCACAAGAACACCAUAAAGAGAAGUAAUGCAACAUUUCCCUCAACUUGAAGUUGCAUAUCUAACCACCUUAUUAUUUUGUGCUGUCAAAAUUAUUUUAAAAUAUAGCACUUAUGAAGAAUGUGGAAGAGGACUUCAAAUAAAUCCGGGCUCUAGAGAUCAUCUACACAUGGGGAACUAUUAGACCUAUUGCCAUGCGUUAAAUCAGGGGUGGUAAAUGGUGAUCUGUAGGCCAAAUCCUGUCCUAUGCCUGAUUUUUUAAAUAAAGUUUUAUUGGAACACAGCUGUGCUCAUUUAUUUAUCUGUAGUUUAUGGCUCUUUUUUACUAAAAGGGUUGAGUAGUUGUGACAGAGGCCUCAU
rnacentral:lncRNA from 1 species